GACGAAGGGGGCUAGCGUUGUUCGGAAUUACUGGGCGUAAAGCGCGUGUAGGCGGUUGUUCAAGUCAGGUGUGAAAGCCUUGAGCUCAACUCAAGAAAUGCACUUGAUACUGGAUAACUAGAGGACCGGAGAGGAUAGUGGAAUUCCCAGUGUAGCGGUGAAAUGCGUAGAUAUUGGGGAGGAACACCAGUGGCGAAGGCGGCUCACUGGACCGGUACUGACGCUGAUGCGCGAAAGCGUGGGGAGCAAACGGG
rnacentral:rRNA from 1 species